rnacentral:rRNA from 1 species
AGGACGAACGCUGGCGGCGCGCUUAACACAUGCAAGUCGAACGGGUGUCCUUCGGGGCAUCAGUGGCGGACGGGUGCGUAACACGUAAGCGACCUGCCUUCAGGUGGGGGAUAACCCCGGGAAACCGGGGCUAAUACCGCAUUCGCUCUUGGGGCUGCAUGGCUCGAAGAGGAAAGCUCCUUCACAGGAGCGCCGGAAGAGGGGCUUGCGGCGUAUCAGCUAGUUGGCGAGGUAACGGCUCACCAAGGCAAUGACGCGUAGGGGGUCUGAGAGGACGGCCCCCACAUUGGGACUGAGAUACGGCCCAGACUCCUACGGGAGGCAGCAGUGGGAAU